rnacentral:lncRNA from 1 species
GCAACAUAUUUCAGGAAAGCAACAAUUUAUGGUAACGCAAAGGGAAGCUCAUUACUUUUCGAGGCGAGAUUAGUACGCCUUGGAACGUGCACUUAUAAAGCGAGGGUCAGCA